GGCGGGUUGCCCGAGCGGCCAAUGGGAGCAGACUGUAAAUCUGUCGGUGUAUGCCUUCGGUGGUUCGAAUCCAUCACCCGCCA
rnacentral:tRNA from 1 species